rnacentral:rRNA from 1 species
UACGGAGGGUGCAAGCGUUAUCCGGAUUUACUGGGUUUAAAGGGUGUGUAGGCGGACUUGUAAGCCAGUGGUGAAAUCCCGGGGCUCAACCCCGGAACUGCCUUUGAUACUAUAAGUCUUGAAUGUUGUGGAGGUGGGCGGAACGGGUCAUGUAGCGGUGAAAUGCAUAGAUAUGACCCGGAACACCGAUUGCGAAGGCAGCCCGCUACGCAACUAUUGACGCUGAGGCACGAAAGCGUGGGGAUCAAACAGG